AAGUCGUAACAAGGUUUCCGUAGGUGAACCUGCGGAAGGAUCAUUAACACGUAUCCAAACGUUAAAACAACCCUGUGAACCUUCAGCGUGUUCUUGCAGGACAUCAAAACAGCAAUCCCGAGUAAAUCAGGCGCUAAAGAAUUACAGAUUUUGAUUUUGGGAAGUUCUGUGUGUACGUGGACGCUGCAAUUGAGCGCUAGAUAAAGCACCCUGGUACCCUAGAACACUCCCCUGUCUGAAAGCGGCAGGGAUCAAUGUUCAGGGUGGCGCAGUCAACGAUCGCUGUAGGUCCACACGACCGGCGACCGGGGUGGAGGCGAAAGCCCCAGCUGACUCCGUCAUAAAUCGAACAACUGUUAACAAUGGAUAUCUUGGUUCUC
rnacentral:misc_RNA from 1 species